AUUGAACGCCGGCGGAAUGCUUUACACAUGCAAGUCGAACGGCAGCACGGACUUCGGUCUGGUGGCGAGUGGCGAACGGGUGAGUAAUAUAUCGGAACGUGCCCAGUCGUGGGGGAUAACGUAGUGAAAAUUACGCUAAUACCGCAUACGAUCUAAGGAUGAAAGCGGGGGAUCGCAAGACCUCGCGCGAUUGGAGCGGCCGAUAUCAGAUUAGGUAGUUGGUGAGGUAAAGGCUCACCAAGCCAACGAUCUGUAGCUGGUCUGAGAGGACGACCAGCCACACUGGGACUGAGACACGGCCCAGACUCCUACGGGAGGCAGCAGUGGGGAAUUUUGGACAAUGGACGCAAGUCUGAUCCAGCCAUUCCGCGUGCAGGACGAAGGCCUUCGGGUUGUAAACUGCUUUUGUACGGAACGAAAAGGUUUCUAUUAAUACUAGGAGCUCAUGACGGUACCGUAAGAAUAAGCACCGGCUAACUA
rnacentral:rRNA from 1 species